rnacentral:lncRNA from 1 species
AAGAUGAUUUUAACCUUACAGACAUGACGACUGAUUAUAACCAUUUAGAUCAUAUAGGCAUGGUGUCUAAGUGUGGUAAUAGAACAUGCAGAGUUCAUUAGACAAAUCAUAUAGGCAUGUUCUCUAUCUGCGUGAAAGUGGAGCAUGCAGAACUUGAAUUAAAACAGAACAGAUCCUAUAGACAUAUUCUCUACCCUUUUAAUAGCAAAAUAUGCAUAAUUACCCAUCCUUUUUUUACUAACCAACUCCAAUGUUUGUUACAAAUUAUUAUAGACCAAACACUGAAUUACAUCAGAAAAGUGUAAAGUAAGAAGUUACAACCAUAGGAAGCCUGAUUCUUGACUUCCUCUCUGAGUUAUGGAAUAAACCACCUCAAGAGCCACUUGUUUCAAAGCCUUUCUCAUAUCUGGGUGUGUCAAAGUUCCCUAAGGGUCUUAAGGGACCCCGGGUUUGCAUAACCAGACAGAAAUGAGUACAGUGUGGAAGGGUCAGCCCUUAUGUGUCCAAGUUCAGAGGGAGCUCAAUGGUCCCAAGGCAAGGCUCACACAAGAGGGGUAGAACCUAGGUUCUAAGAAUAUAGUGAAAGUGCAGAAUACAAAGAUUUAUUUAAAACUGGGUUGAGAAUAGUAAGGGGUAAGGGUGAUUUGAAAACAGUAGUAGUAAAUCUUAAACUACAUAGAAUCAACAGUUGCACAAAGGGGUCAAGGGUUUUGGGAAUACAUUGCAUGAAGCAUAUGACCCCAGUAAGAGUCAGGUUUGGACAUGCACAACAGUAGAUGAUGCUGGCAUGCCCACAAACCAGCCAGAGAACAUAAACACAAAGAGGGGAUGUGGGGUUUGGGGAUUCACACACAUAGGAAAGCAUUAAUUUAAAAGGGGAAGGGAACACAUUUUAACAUGCUAGUAAUGUAACUUGACUGCAGAAACAUAAGCAGAAAUAGACAAAUAUGAGAGAAGUUGGAACAAUUAUAGAAAACAUGUUGUUGUUGAUGCUUGAAAAUUAACUAGGACAUACCAGCAAGAAGCAAACCGCAGAAAGGAAAGGUAAGCAAAUUUUCACAGCCUAGCCUUGGCUUUUAGCCGGCUAGACAAAGCAGUAGCACAAGUAGCAAUAGAAAAAGAGAGGUUUUGAGUGAAGUGUGUGUUCUUGAACUCAAAUUGUUCGUGUCUUUGAAAGAAAAGAGGGUGGGUAUUUAUAGUUUUGAAAACAGGUAAAGAGUAAGGUAAUAAGUAAAGUCUUAACACAAACAUGGAAACAAUCACAAGUCAGAAUCAAUUAACCCAAGUGAUUCCCCUUUAAUUAAGGAAUCACUGUUUAACGGAUAGCAGCAGGUCUAAUUAAGGAAAGAAAAUCAGUUUGAGGACAGAUUGAUUAUUGCCAUAAAAGGGAUAGUAAAAACAUGAAGUAAACAAUCAAGUCUAAGUACAAAUAUAUGCUUAUUUUUGAAAAGAUUCAGUAAGGUAAAUAUCACAGCAAAGGAAAGGAAUCAAUUAAUUUUAAAGAGGCAAGUGAAAUUAGGGGUCAUAAAAGAAAAGCUUUUGCAAUCAGUCACAAGACCAAGAUCAAUCAAGGAAGAAACACGAUUCUGCACUUCAGUAUAUAAAUAGAGUGAACAGAAGCAUCAGACAUGCGAGGCCAAAUACAUUGGCAAAAGAAACAACAUACAAUAGUAGCAGAAAUAAGCUGGGAUUCAGUAGUAAGAAAGAUAUUCGAAGCAUAGUAGUCAAGUAUGUCAGGUAGUCACAUAGAAUUAACAGUGAAGAAAUCAUAGCAACAGGUAAAGAGAAUCGAAAACAAGUAAAGGUCUCACAUCAUCAAGUGAGGAAAACCUUUUAAGAAAUUAGGGUUUCAACAAUAGUCGAGUUAAAAAGAUAGUAAAACUCAGAAUCAGAUAGGUCACAUAAAAGAAAAGAGAGUCUGAAACAAUAAUUGAGUCAAGUAUACUUUUAAACAAGUAGUCUCAUACCAAAAGACCUAGAGUUUUCCACAAUAAUCGAGUUCAAAAGAUGGUAAAAUUCAAAAUCAAAUUAGUCAAACAAGAACGAAGAACUUAAUUGAGCAAGUACAUAUUCAAACAUGCAGUUUCAGAACUCGGAUGAGACAAAAAGAAACUAGGGUUUUAACAUGUUGACUCAAGUAGAAGGAAAGCAUAACAAGUAGUUUGAACAUAGUAAAACCAUAAAACAACAUCAAGAAUCAGAAAAGAGAUUUUUUUAAAAGGGAGGUUAAGAGAAACCCUAAUCGGAGAAAAUGAAGGGUCGUUUUGAAAGAAAAGUUGAAGAACUUUCUAGAAAACACUUAAAACAUUCAUAACAAGUACAGAUCUAAAGUAGUUCUGAAAGAAAAAUUCAAAGAUCUUAAAGAUUAGGGUUUCGUAAGACCCAGAAAAGGUGAGAAAAACCUUGAAAGUUACCGAUCUAACCAGGAGAGUCAAGGAUCUGACUCGAACGGCCAUGGCUGGACAGAGAAAGGUCAUGGAUGACCGGAAAAGGGCCAUGAACAGAAGUCGAGCAAGGACUGGACCACAUUCCCUCGAGGUCUGGCUAUGAAACCACAGAAACAAACACCCAGGAGCCAUAGGAGGCCACUAGACAUCUCCAAUGACCAUGAGAGGUCAUAAAUUAGGCAGGGUUUAGGGUAGAUUAGGGUGGGAUUAGAUGGCGGCAACUAGGGUUCUUGAGAGAUUUCAGAGAGAGUUGAGAGAGAAAGGGAAUUCAAAGGCGGCGGGUGUAGAGAAAUGAUUUAGGUUUAGGGGUCGUUCAGAGUUAAAAAAGGUAAGGGGGAACGGUGGCCGUUGAUCUAAAUGAUCAACAGCUAGGAUUAAAGGGGUUAGGUGGGGAAUCCGGGUUGGGUCGCUUAAAUUGGGUUAGGGGUCGGGUUUGAUUUGCAAUUGG